GGAGUCUGGGCCGUAUCUCAGUCCCAAUGUGGCCGUUUAACCUCUCAGUCCGGCUACUGAUCGUCGUCUUGGUAAGCCGUUACCUCACCAACUAACUAAUCAGAUAUAAGUCCAUCUAUUAGCGGAUUUCUCCUUUCCCACUUGGAAGAUGUCUCCCAUAUGGCAUAUGCGGUAUUAGCAGUCAUUUCUAACUGUUGUUCCCCUCUAACAGGCAGGUUACUUAUACAUUACUCACCAGUCCGCCACUAAAGCCAUUGUUGUAAGUCAAUCUCCAUUCCCUUUGAACAAGUUCUCUGUUCAUUUCAACAUCAUUACAACGACUUCCGUUCGACUUGCAUGUCUUAUGUGCGCCGCCAGCGUUUAUC
rnacentral:rRNA from 1 species